UACGGAGGGGGCUAGCGUUGUUCGGAAUUACUGGGCGUAAAGCGCACGUAGGCGGCUUUGUAAGUUAGCGGUGAAAGCCCGGGGCUCAACCCCGGAAUUGCCUUUAAGACUGCAUCGCUAGAAUUGUGGAGAGGUAAGUGGAAUUCCGAGUGUAGAGGUGAAAUUCGUAGAUAUUCGGAAGAACACCAGUGGCGAAGGCGACUUACUGGACACAUAUUGACGCUGAGGUGCGAAAGCGUGGGGAGCAAACAGG
rnacentral:rRNA from 1 species